GACGAACGCUGGCGGCGUGCUUAACACAUGCAAGUCGAACGGAAAGGCCCUGCUUUUGUGGGGAGCUCGAGUGGCGAACGGGUGAGUAACACGUGAGUAACCUGCCCUUGACUUUGGGAUAACUUCAGGAAACUGGGGCUAAUACCGGAUAGGAGCUCCUGCUGCAUGGUGGGGGUUGGAAAGUUUCGGCGGUUGGGGAUGGACUCGCGGCUUAUCAGCUUGUUGGUGGGGUAGUGGCUUACCAAGGCUUUGACGGGUAGCCGGCCUGAGAGGGUGACCGGCCACAUUGGGACUGAGAUACGGCCCAGACUCCUACGGGAGGCAGCAGUGGGGAAUAUUGCACAAUGGGCGGAAGCCUGAUGCAGCAACGCCGCGUGCGGGAUGACGGCCUUCGGGUUGUAAACCGCUUUCGCCUGUGACGAAGCGUGGGUGACGGUAAUGGGUAAAGAAGCACCGGCUAACUACGUG
rnacentral:rRNA from 1 species